AAUUAUGGACAAUGGGGGAAACCCUGAUCCAGCCAUCCCGCGUGUAUGAUGAAGGACUUCGGGUUGUAAAGUACAUUUGGCAGAGAAGAAAAGGUACCUCCUAAUACGAGGUACUGCUGACGGUAUCUGCAGAAUAAGCACCGGCUAACUACGUGCCAGCAGCCGCGGUAAUACGUAGGUUGCAAGCGUUAAUCAGAAUUACUGGGCGUAAGGCGUGUGUAGGCGGAUCGGAAAGAAAGAUGUGAAAUCCCAGGGCUCAACCUUGGAACUGCAUUUUUAACUGCCGAGCUAGAGUAUGUCAGAGGGGGGUAGAAUUCCACGUGUAGCAGUGAAAUGCGUAGAUAUGUAGAGGAAUACCGAUGGCGAAGGCAGCCCCCUGGGAUAAUACUGACGCUCAGACACGAAAGCGUGGGGAGCAAACA
rnacentral:rRNA from 1 species